rnacentral:rRNA from 1 species
UACAGAGGGUGCAAACGUUGUUCGGAAUCACUGGGCGUAAAGCGUGUGUAGGUUGCUUUGUAAGUCGGAUGUGAAAGCCCCGGGCUCAACCUGGGAAGUGCAUUCGAUACUGCAGAGCUUGAGUAUCGGAGAGGUUGGUGGAAUUCUCGGUGUAGAGGUGAAAUUCGUAGAUAUCGGGAAGAACAUCGGUGGCGAAGGCGGCCAACUGGACGAAUACUGACACUGAGACACGAAAGCGUGGGGAGCAAACAGG